rnacentral:rRNA from 1 species
UACGAAGGGGGCUAGCGUUGCUCGGAAUCACUGGGCGUAAAGCGCACGUAGGCGGAUCUUUAAGUCAGGGGUGAAAUCCUGGAGCUCAACUCCAGAACUGCCUUUGAUACUGGAGAUCUCGAGUUCCGGAAGAGGUGAGUGGAACUCCGAGUGUAGAGGUGAAAUUCGUAGAUAUUCGGAAGAACACCAGUGGCGAAGGCGGCUCACUGGUCCGGUACUGACGCUGAGGUGCGAAAGCGUGGGGAGCAAACAGGG